AAAAACAUGAAAUGUAACAGGCCAAGCUUUCUUCAGCUGGGGUAAAUCAGCAUUUCUCCCUUAAACUCUCUGGAACUGUGCCUAUUUAUAUCUAAGAAUCUAGACAGUUAUCUGAGCUUGCCAGCUCAAUGUAGGGAGAAACAUAGCUUUAACCAAUUAAAUGUUCGUUAGAGGCAAGACAGAAAGGAUAGAAAAAGGAUAGAAAAACUCAGAACCAGUGAGCACUUAUGCUCUUGUUCUUUUACCAAAUGAAAUGUUAACAUUUUGCGGAAUGCCUUUUGCUGCAUGGGUAAAUGUAAACCCUACUGUCAAUACUGUUUUAGAGCUACUGGGGGGUUAUUUUACAAAUGGGUUUAGAGAUUUUUGGUGUACUGGUGUGUCAGUCUUCUUAGCAUAGCACAGUUUCGUCAGUAAAAAAGUGCCUUACUCUUAUCACUAAACCUACAAGAGUUAUAGAUGUGAUACUGAUACCUUAAUCUGUAAAACUGCUUCACUGUAGUUCCGAACUAACAUACCAUGGUACAAAAUCACAUAUACACAAGACCAAACCUGCAACCUACCUCUAACAUUAAUCUGACAGUGAACAACUGGAAAUCAGAAAAGGACAGGAACAGUUAGCCCAAGUGUAAUUUCCAUGAUAUGCCUUGUAAGCUGAAAUUUACCUCUGUAUAAAGAAAUAGCAAAGAGACAGCCAUGGUUCAGGAGUCUUAUUUAAAUUGCGGUCAGAUUCACUACCGUCUGGCCCUCCGCAGUCACCCUGGAUUCAUGCCCUGCUACUACAAAGAAUAUAAACCCAUCUGCGCACAAAGUGACAUUUACCCUUGCGUUGGUUUUAUCACUUGUGGUGUUCUCCCCUUGUGUUGGAACACCGCCAUUCUGACUCAUGCGGUUGUACUGGCAAACCUGGGCUUGCAUACGUUACAAACUGAUCUCGAGAGGAGUGUAAGAAGGUAUCUCAUAAUCUUGAAGCAAAACUCUUUCAAAAGUAAUUUCCUCCACCAUUCAAGCACCACGGAAGUUGUAAUUGACAAAUGGGAAAACUAAUCUGGUUAUUAGCUGAAGCAUGGGCUUUUCAGAAGCUUCCCAGGGUGAGCUGUACGAAGACCUUUCUUACUAGGAAAAUACUGACCUGGGCAUUGUCAAAUCUCUUGCAGAGACAGGUCAGGUGAGUCUCUGAUAACACAUUAAACUAAAGCAAUUAUUUCAAUCCAGAGGAGUUUAAAGUAGAGAGGAAAAAAAAUAAAUAAAGACUUCCUACAAAAGAUUUAAUAGGA
rnacentral:lncRNA from 1 species